UGGUUACUUCUACCUUACCGUUUGACCGUGAAUGGCCAACCGACGUGAGUUUGUGCGUAAUAUGAAACUUCGCACAAAACUCUCUGAAAUUUUGAUUGUCAAAUUAUCGAUCAUUGUCGGUGAUAAUGAUGUGUGGCAAACAGAAUCUGUAAAUAAUGAAUUUCUGAAUGAAGUCUUUCAUCUUGCUUUCAGUGAUUUGCGCCAGAGGUUCGGCUUCUAUCCAUU
rnacentral:lncRNA from 1 species